rnacentral:misc_RNA from 1 species
GUAGGUGAACCUGCGGAAGGAUCAUUAUCACGUAUCCACGUUAUAAACCAAUUCGUGAACUGUUUUCUCACCUUUGGGCUAUGGCCGCUGUCAGUUGACACAUGGGUUCAUUGUAUGAUUAUGAACUCGUCGAUUGGCAAUUAAGGCUGUUUCUCCGAAGUGUAUUUAAUCAUACUUUCAAAAACAUUAACCACUUGAACACUAUGAAAUUUUCUUUGUUUGAACUGAUUUGUUUCUUACUCAGUGUGGG